AUUGAACGCUGGCGGAAUGCUUUACACAUGCAAGUCGAACGGUAGAGGGGGCAACCCCUCGAGAGUGGCGAACGGGUGAGUAAUAUAUCGGAACGUGCCCAGUCGUGGGGGAUAACGUAGCGAAAGUUACGCUAAUACCGCAUACGAUCUAAGGAUGCAAGCGGGGGAUCGCAAGACCUCGCGCGAUUGGAGCGGCCGAUAUCAGAUUAGGUAGUUGGUGGGGUAAAGGCUCACCAAGCCAACGAUCUGUAGCUGGUCUGAGAGGACGACCAGCCACACUGGAACUGAGACACGGUCCAGACUCCUACGGGAGGCAGCAGUGGGGAAUUUUGGACAAUGGACGCAAGUCUGAUCCAGCCAUUCCGCGUGCAGGAUGAAGGCCCUCGGGUUGUAAACUGCUUUUGUACGGAACGAAAAGGUCUCUCUUAAUACGGGGGACUCAUGACGGUACCGUAAGAAUAAGCACCGGCUAACUACGUGCCAGCCGCCGCGGUAAGAC
rnacentral:rRNA from 1 species